AAGUAAAAGUCGUAACAAGGUUUCCGUAGGUGAACCUGCGGAAGGAUCAUUACCGAAUUGUCAACAUGAGUUGUUGCUGGUCCUCAAACGGGGACAUGUGCACGCUCUGUUCACACAUCCACUCACACCUGUGCACCCUCUGUAGUUCUGUGGCCUGGGGGGCUCCGUCCCCCUCGCUGUGGUUCUACGUCUUUACACACACACACCGUAAUGAAGUCUUAUGGAAUGUAUGUCGCGUCUAACGCAAUACAAUACAACUUUCAGCAACGGAUCUCUUGGCUCUCGCAUCGAUGAAGAACGCAGCGAAAUGCGAUAAGUAAUGUGAAUUGCAGAAUUCAGUGAAUCAUCGAAUCUUUGAACGCACCUUGCGCCCUUUGGUUAUUCCGAAGGGCAUGCCUGUUUGAGUAUCAUGAAAACCUCAACUCUCAUGGUUUGCCGUGAUGAGCUUGGACUUUGGGGGUCUUGCUGGCCUAUGGUCGGCUCCUCUCAAACGAAUCAGCUUGCCAGUGUUUGGUGGCAUCACAGGUGUGAUAACUAUCUACGCUUGUGGUUUCUCACCAGGUAACCUUCAGCAAUGGAGGUUCGCUGGAGCUCACAAAUGUCCCUCCUCAGCGAGGACCUUUGAACGUUUGAUCUCAAAUCAGGUAGGACUACCCGCUGAAC
rnacentral:rRNA from 1 species